UCCGCAGGCGGGCGGGCAAGUCGGUGGUGAAAGUUCACGGCUCAACUGUGAAAUUGCCUCCGAUACUGUUCGUCUUGAGUUCGAGAGAGGAUGAUGGAAUUCAUGGUGUAGCAGUGAAAUGCGUAGAGAUCAUGAAGAACACCAGUUGCGAAGGCGGUCAUCUGGCUCGAUACUGACGCUCAGGGACGAAAGCGUGGGUAGCAAACA
rnacentral:rRNA from 1 species